CCAGUCAAACUGACACAUAAAAUUAACCAUCACAGUAAGUAUUCACCAUAAUUUUCUUUCCUUCUAGGCUUCUGUAUAUUUUAACUUAGACUUAUGGCAGGAAACUGGGUUUGCGUGAGUUUUGCAUGGGAAAGUAAAUAAAGUUAGACUAUCUUCUAGGAGUUUUCAUAUAGCACUCAGCAGUUUGCUCAUGUGCCCAGGGCUGAAAUUUGUUACUGCAUCUUAAUUCCAGAACCCAUGAUCAAGGCCCAUCCUGGGUUUAAAGGGGAACCUAUAAGGUGAGAAGCUUUUUGGACAUAGGACAAGUGUUCAGAUGAAACACCUGCUUCCCACCAAGAAUCUUCAAAACCAAUUUCAUCUCCUACUUUUGACCCCUUCAGUCACUGUUCUACAGAGGUUUUGUUUGUUUUGUUUUGUUUUUAAUCUCCUUCAAUACCGUAUAUCUCGUGCCUCAUUCUGUCUCUCCAUUCCUACUUCCUAUUGUCCUAGUUCAAGACCUUAUCACAUCUUACUUGGGCUGUGGCAUUUGCGGGACACCUAGUCUCCAUUUCCUCCUCUUCUCAGCCAUCCAAGUGCUCGCUCUAAGAUGGAAAGCUGGCCACAUUUGUCCCUUGUUGAGCAGCGUUUGGUGGCUCUCCAUUGCUUUACCAGACGAUGUCCAGGCUCAUCACCAUGGCACAUGACUUCUCCCAUGACCCAGCUCUUGCUUACUUCUCCAGCUUACUCUCCUGCUCCACUCUCAUCUUUUGCUUCACACUCCAGCAGCUCUAACUGCUUACGGUUCCCAGUGUAUAUCCUGGGGUUCUUUUGUCCCAGCUUUUUUGUAGGCUGAUCUGAGAAAGAUCUGGAAUAGACUGUCCAUGUCCUUCUCCUGGAUAAUCCAUUCUUUAAUGAUCAGCUCAGGCCAUAUACCCUUGACCCUACCCGGCGGGGGCUGCAUGGUCUCCUUUCUGCCCAUACCUCUGUCCCUGUGACUAGACUGUAGGGUCUUUGCAGGCAGGGUCCAGGUCUUAGUCAUCUUUGUACAUCCGUAACUUGCUGUGUGCUGGUAGAUGACAGUUGCUCAAUAAACAUUUAUAGCUUCAAACAGAAAGAACAACAGUGACUAGUUGACUGGUUUGAGUUUCAUUUCAUCUCCUUUCAGAAGCCAGAGAUGGAAUAAAAUGGCCAAAGUAGCGCGACCAGAAGGGAGGGAGGAAGGCAGUGGCUAUGGAAAGUCUGCAGAUACAAUCUCUUCCUGCGGGACUGAAUUCAGUCCAAAUGAUUAAAAGUCUCUUGUGAUGGAAUCCGCUUUUUGUAGAAUGGAUUAGUAACAAGGAUUUUCUCUAAAGAUAGAUUUUUUUCCAGAGAAACAAAUUUGAACAAUUUACUCGAAGAAUUUAAAUGCAAAAGUAAUCCUACUUAAAAGGCAAAUUGACCACUAUCCUUCCUCCUUUCUCUUAUUAGUAAAAGAGUUUACACAGAAACUCUAUAAGAAAUUGUGUAAGAGAUUCACAAGGAUCAUUAAGGUCUCUCCUAGACAGUCACUUUCACUUUGUAAAAUUGGCCAUCCCCUCAAAAUGGUAUCACAUUAAAAUGGACUUUCUGGGGCUCUUAUAUGUGAAUGGGUUUUAGCUGCACAGUGGUGCCAUUCAUUUUAUUUGGCCCAUUUAUUGCCAAGUACAUUCUAAAUUUGGCCUUAAUUAUUUUUCCUUUCACAAAAAUAUUUUGUGGGAUCUUUUUGAACCCUGACUACUUCCUUCUUGCCCCUUAAAACAGAAUCCAGGAGUGUUAUUUUUGUUCUCUUCUAAUUAAAAUAAUUGCUCGGUUCCUUUUAACUAGAUUCAUGCAGUUAUUAGCCUAAUACAUGGAUGGGUGCCAUGGGGUGCUUGAGAAACAAAAUGAAAAGUGAUCAUGUAGCUUCACAUGAAAAAGGUUCUGUGGUGCCAAAGAGCAUUAUUUCCUUUCAGCCGGCAUUUUAUAAGGGCCUUUAGUAAACCUGGCCCCCCGUACCCUUCCUAAAAGACUAUUAAGUGAAAGAAUAGUUCUGUUUUCUUUAUUAGGUAGACAGCUAACUCAGUACAAUUUGAAGAGGGGCACUUGAUAUGCCGGGUAUGGCACAAAGACCUGGGGUCUGGUUUUAAUGUCUGUCCCUGCUUUGUCUUGCAGAAUAACUGCUGUUGAAGGAUCAAUGCUCCAGGUCCCCUCUGCCAGUCGGUGUUUAUCAGAGGACAGUGGAGGAAGAGGGACAAAAGUUCUUGGAUAUAUGCGUUAAUCAAGAAUUGUCAGGACCCUGCCUCUAAAAGGAAGUGUUAAAAUAAUGUUUUUGACAUCAAGACUUUUCUCAAAGUUCGUGUAAUCCAAGGGUUUGGCAAACAAAGGACCACAGGCUAAAUCUGAUUUGUUGCCUGUUUUUGUAAAUAAAGAUUUAUUGGAACACGGCCACACUCACUCGUUUAUGCAUUGUCUGCCACUGCUUUUGCACUAGAACGUGGAGCAGUAGUGGCAGAGACCACGUGGCCUGCAAAGAUUUGCCUUCUGGCUCUUUACAGAAAAAGUUUGCUGACUUCUGAAAUAGUCUAUCCAAUUCACUCAAUAACUCCUCCACGCGGAGAAAUACACUUACAGGAAUUUUUAGAGUGGUCCUUGUUUGAUGAAAGGCUGAGGGCCUUCGGUAACGUGCUUAUGUUAUGGGUGUUCAGUAUGGGUGUAUAGAUAGCAGGAAGCAAGAAGGCUUUGGCAAGAAGUCAUGGUUUGAGAAAGGUUCUGCCAUUAUUGUCUCAGUGGCAAGUCACCAAUCAUGAUUGGGCUCUUCCUUGUCUGCUACCUGGAGGAGAAGGUGUUGACGUGGUUGGAACUUCUGGCUUGGAGUGCACCUUUAUUAACUACUUCAAGACCUUACGGUCAACAUGGUGGACUUUUGCUUCCAGACCAAAAGAUGGGAGCCCUUUGCCACCAGUUGGUGGUUGGGAGGGUACAUAAAGUCCUAGGGAAUCCGUAUCAGAGAAAUUUUCAAGUAUGAAUUGUCCAAUUAAAUGACAUAUAGUAAACAUGCCCGAUGUGCACUUAUUUUGCCAUACUGUUAAACACAGUCUUCAUUCAGAUUGUACUCAUUCAAUGACGUGUCUUGUAAUUUUUGAGAUGAUCAUUAUCGAAUAUCCCUACAGGAAGCAGCUUCCACCAAAAUAUUGAAUUUGCCUUGUCAUGGGAGGAGAAGUGAAGUUCUUCAAAGUUUCUGUUUUUGAUAUUGCCCUUUUAACAGAGAAGUUUGCCAACAUUUUCCUCAUCUUCAAUGUUGUUAGUUAUUUGUUCUCUUCAGGUUUAUCUGUGAACCUAAAAGUCAUAGAAAUCGCUGAAACAAAGAUGCCAAUGAAGUUGCCUCCCCCCCACACGCAAAAACUUUCCAGAAUCUUCCAUCGUACAGUUGCCACCUGCAAAGAAUUUUGAGAGGCAAAGCACUCCCCAAUCCUUCGACUCUGGCGUUGUGUGGGAGUUUUCUUUUUGUGGCCAGUGGCCACACCAGUCCUUCCUCUGGACAUGUUGCAGUUUGUCUCUCUCUUACCUCACAGGGAAGCUCACAGAAUGCAUCAGAACUUCAGCAGGCAGCACUGAUCUGAGUCCUGUUCCUGGUCCAAUUCAAGUCCCCAGGAUCUUCUGCGAGAAGAAGAGCCAUUACCACCCACUAAAAAGGCCAGUGUGGACAGGCACUUUACCUCCCUUGUCUCUCAUCUUCACAGCAGCCCUGCAGGUCUAUGGAGCGUCUGCAGUCCCGGGACUGGUUCCACUACGCACGCAGGUGGAUGCAGAGCGGGGAUUCGGGAAGAGUGGGCAGGAGAGGAUGUUUGUCUCUCUGCACUCAUGGAAAUGUCGCUGGACACUGCUGAGAUGGAGGGGAGAAUCGAACAAAUCGGCUUUUAUUUUGGAGAUGAGUAGAAUUAAGCCAAAUCCUUUUCUGCCUUCUUUUAAGCUCGCCACUUUCCUGACUUUCCAUUCAACUGAAUUCAGUUCAUUUGAGCAGCAGGCACAGUGGUUACUUGGGACUCUCAGAGCUGGCCACCCGGCUUUGAGUGCCUCUCCAGCACCUAAUAACCGUGUGACAUUGGGCAAGUCACUUCCUGUGUCUCUGCCUCAUUUGUAAAACAGAGCGAGUGACAGGACCUUCCUCACAGGGUUGUGUGAGGGGCAAAGCCCUCGGAACAGGGCUGACACUUGAGCAUCAGCUUGCUUUGUGCCACUUGGUGUGCCGGCUCUGGGGACCCCAGUCAGGCUCCUCACCAACCCCCUGUUCCCUAGGAGAGGGCGGGCACUUGGCAUCACAAUGAAAGAGUUACAUCGCCAGACACAAAUCUAAUGUUUUCCUUCUGCCAAGAGCAGCGAGCAACAAGUCCACUCAUAUAGCCCCGCCUAGGUGGCUGGUGAACAGCCUUACUUUUUGCAUUUUGUUUGCGAGGAGGACGUUUACUUCAGAUCAUCCCCCUUGUACUUCCUUGAAAGGUGGCUUCUCAUCAAAACCGGCCACCACAAAAGGGACUGUCCUGCUCCACCCCAGUCGGGGCUUCCAGAAAUUGUCACGUUGUGUCACAGGGUUAAACUCCUCAUCAGAAGCUCAAGUAUAGUUGGAAUAAACCUUUUGCAAUGUAACCCCUAAUUGCAUAAUUUAUAGUUACACUUUAUUUCCUUUGCUCCAUUCUAAUAGUUGACCCAUUGAUGGUGAUGGCCAUCCUCCUCCUCAUGGUCAUCACACAGAUAGAUCCUACGGCCCCUCCCUCCGCAGGAGACCAUUCUCGAUGACAGUUGGUUUCACUCGACUGCUCAGAAGAGAUGUAUUCCAAUGAGCUCCUUCCCUUCAUUCAUUAUGCUGAAAUCAUAUUUCCAGAGGACAGAGAUGAAUGCUGUGUGCUUAUCUGAUUAAACUGCCUGUUGUUUUAAA